UCGCCCUUCCGUUCAGUGUGGACUUGUGGACUUCUGCUCGCCGACAGUUGCCGGCCGAUCGACCACACAGCUAGCCAUUCAAUUCUUCAGCUGACAGAGAGAGAUGGACAGGGCGGCGGUGCUGCUGCUGCUUGCGCUGGUCGCCGUCCUCCUUUGGUACCCUCUUCUUCUGCCAGCGCUGCCGCCUUCUCCGCCGGCACUCUUCAUCUGGAUCCCGGUGCUCAUGCUGCUGCUCCUCUUCGCCCUUGCUUUCUUCCCAGCUGCUCGUCGGUAACCCAACGCUACUAUAGCUCAAGCAGGUCGUCUUUGCGUUGACCCUAGCUAAAGUGAAACCAUGGGCCAUGGCCUGGAGGGGGUGCAGUGAAGAAUUCAGGGGAAAUAACGUGUGAUGGGAUCUAGAUGAGCAUGCCACCUAUCUUUACAUAAGCAUAUGUGCGCUUUCUUAUCAAGUCCUGUCUUGAAUAAAGAGUUUCCACAUAUAUAUAUUAAUUUAUGCUA